CAUAGUGCCUAAGUGCUUCCCUAUUAUCAUUUUACUCUUAUCUAUAUAUUAUAGAGAAGAAGUACUCACAUCAUAUAGCCUCAAUCCAUCUUCAUAUAUUCAAACCUAGAGUGUUAUAGUAGUGACUUAUUUUAUAAGUGUGUUCCUUUCUUUCAUACAAAAAUGUUCGGGAUGGCGGCUCCCAAUGGUUACGUAACAUACAAGCAUGGAGAUGAAUAGAAGUCUUUAGCACAUUGAUGAUCCAUCAGUGAGGUCAUAUACUCUUCAUGGAUUCUUCCUCCAUUACUUUUACACAUGUAAUUUAAAAUCAAGAAUCUCAAGAAGAAAAAGGAGGCGGCAUUCGUUACUACUAUGUUAUGUGUGUGUUAAGACAACAAAGAAAAGAUGUUUCCUCAUAGAAGUUGUUUCUUAUGUGCUCAUUUAUUCAGUGUUUAAAAAAAGUGAUAUUUUGUACGAGAGGAGAGGAGUUACAAAUCAUUUUUCCGGCUACUUGGUCAUAUUGUUUGUUUUUUUUUUUGGUUUUUUUCUCAAUUCCUGAAAGAAGAAAUAAAAUAUUGACAGAAACAAAUGGCGGCGACUCACCUACAGAUCUCAUUCUCGAUUACUUCAACCCGUAGAUCCGAACUUGUGGGGGAGAAUUCGGAAUUCUUUUUUAUGAUUUUUGAAAUUUCCAAAAUGAUAUCACAAGGACGCUUCUCCGGGCCAAAGUCAUUGAGAAUAUUCAACAAACUCUUAAAAAUCCCUGCUUAAAAUCAAAUUGAAUCAAAUCAGUUACUCUUGCAUGGUUCUUUUUUUCUUUUUCUAGAUUGGUCCUGACAUAUGCGCGAGUGCUGAGUUUUGCCUGUUUGAGGUAGUAGGUUGUAUAGUUAACAAAUGUUUAAAAAUGUUGUCAUUAUUUUUAAACAAUGACCGACUCUAGGUUUAGGCUAUUUUUAUGCCUAACUGUACAAUUUGCUAACUCUCCCAGUUUAGACUCUUAAAAUUCUUCAGUUUUAUAAAAUAAAUUAUUCCUAUACAUUCUCCAUGAUUCAAUGAGUCUUUCUUUUCUAUUUAAUUUUUACUCAUUCAUAUUGUAUAAAUGACAGGAAAUACAUCCUUGUAUACACAAUAUUUUAUCUUUCUCUGUAUAAUUCAUAUUUUUAUGAUAUUGUAUGAUUCAUUAAAUGUGAGCUUCAUGCAUAUAGUGUUCAAACAAACACAUAUACCUACAUAUAACCCAUCCUGAUAACAACAUUCUAUAUACAUUUUCGUCAUGUGCCUUUCUUGACAAAAAUUAAUUACAUGAUCCAUACUUAGGUCAUCUAUUGAAUUAGAUAACUCGAUUUACCUUCUUGGUUGACAAAGGUAGCAAGAAAGAAAUCAUUUUCAUUCAUUUCCUUUUUUAUUAGCAGUAAUUAUAUUAACAAUUGAUAUUCCCUACCACCAGCCCCUUUCUUCACCUAGUUGAAUUUGUUGUAAUAAUUAUGAGUCAUUGGCAAAUAUUAGCAUUUUUUGCAGUUGCCACGUGGAGUAUUUAUUCACUUCAGGAUCACUCUUGAGGUCGUUUUGGCUUAAUAAUAAACUUGUUUUUUUCCUUCUCAUGUAACUUGCCCUUGCUCCAUUCCAUAGGCCAUAAGAACGUACUGUAGAAAGGAAGUUCUUAACAACUCACCGCACUCUUUUCCGAGUAGUUGUAGUAUAUAGAAUAGGCGACACUUUCUGUUUACGGCUGUAAAAAGAUAAUAAUUAUUUUGCUUGCAUUUAUACGUGCAAUUUUAUCUUCUUAUAUAUUUCCUUAGUGGAGGUACAUACGACAUGCACAAUAAAACCUAUGUUUAAUAGUGUGUCUUUAUUCAUGUAUACUAACGUUUUGUAACUGCUGUAUCAUGGCUAUGGAAUAAUUUAUCACCUAUGAAAAUUUUGCAACGUCAUUGUAAAUUUGCCAGCCUGAGGAAAAAAAAGCAUACUCUCUUUAGUGUUGAGGACUAAUGCCAUUAUGUCUUAUUAAUUGCUCCCGUGUUGUUUUUAUCUCUUCUUUUGGUAUAUUCUUAUGUACAUGUUAAAUUAUAAGAAUUAUUUUAAAAUUAAGAUGCUGACUGAAUGGAUACAAUCCAUUUAUUUACAACGAUAACAUGUUUUGUAAUACAACAUUUUUUUAGUCAACUUCAAACUAUUUAGGUACACAGAUUUGAUGACAAAUACUUAAAAUUCCAUUAUCCGUAUUUAAUUUGUAAUUAGAAAUUUAACUCUUGAGUAGAUGUUAAAUGUACACUAGUAUGAUGUAUAUGUAUUUUGGCAACCUACUUGCAUUUCCUGUCCCUUUUCCUAGUCUGAAAAUAAUAAUGUUAGAGAAAGUUUGAUUUACAUCUAUUGUCGAAUGAGUAGUUGCUCAUUGAUAAAACUUCAUUUUGAGAGAUUUAUAGUACCUCAAAUAUUCAACACUCAAUUUCUCUGCUUAAAUAUUAAUAUACCCUUUUAUAAGGUUCAACACCCUUUUUGAAUAAGAUACGCCAGUGUGUGGUCUUAUACAUUAAGUAUUUCAGCAAUCCCUUUGCAAAGUAUUCCUUUCCUCUUAUCUCCAGGUACAAUCAACAUCCUAUUUAAGUCGUCUGUAUUGGGCUCUUGUAUUUGACCAGUUUAUUUUGUAUUAUUAAAUAAUUUGUUAUCACUAUACAUUCUAGCAUAGUGUUUAUAUCUUGUGACAUUAUUUGUCCAAUGAUGCAUACGAGUACUAAAUGAGUGGCAAGUCUUGUUGAGUCAUUCACUUCCAUGGAAAUUAAGCAUAUAUUUUGUAAAAUGAGCAGGAUGCUCUGAUGAAGUAGGGGUUAAAUUUAUUUGUGUUCGGAGGCCAUUGAGAGUGCUCUGUUAUUAUUAGGGUUUGCUAUACAGAACCGAUCCUUCGGACAGUCAAUACUAGAACUGAAAAUAAAGUUGAGUGCCGCCAUAAAGGACUGAACUGUUCCGGAUGGGACUGCAGUAGUCUUCAGUCCUAAAUAAGAAUCGACACAACACUACUUGCGAGCAACUUGUGCAUUUGGAUCAACUUUAUAGAGAAGUUAGUAGACUACCUCAUUCAUACAGUACCUGAAAGAUAAUUUAUUAUUAAUCCUAUUUGAAUUCCUAACUAACUGUUUUAAUUCAAAAUAUUAUAUUUGAAAUGUCAAUUCUUUUUCUCAUAUUUGUGUAAAUAUACAUAUGUCUAUAUUUGUUAGUUUUAAAAAUAAAAUAAAAAACAAUCAAA
rnacentral:lncRNA from 1 species